rnacentral:rRNA from 1 species
AGACUUUGAUCCUGGCUCANAACGAACGCUGGCGGCGUGGUUAAGACAUGCAAGUCGAACGAACUAAUCAAUUGAGUAAUCGAGAGAUUAGUUAGUGGCGAAAGGGUGAGUAACGGACAGGUAACGUACCCCGUGCUUUGGAACAGUGUCAUUUGCCUUCGGGCAAAUUUCCGAAAGGGGCAUUAAUACCAAAUAAUAUCAUGAAGUGAUAGCUUCAUGAUCAAAGAUUUAUCGGCACGGGAGCGGCCUAUCUCCUAUCANCUUGUUGGUGAGGUAAUGGCUCACCAAGGCUCANACGGGUAGCGGGACUGAGAGGUUGUUCCGUCACAUCGGGACUGAGACACUGCCCGGACCUCCACGGAGGGCUGCAGUAACGAAUCUUGCGCAAUGGGCGAAAGCCUGACGCAGCGACGCCCCGUGUAGGAUGAANUCUCUCNGGAUGUAAACUACUGUCAAGGGUAAAAAAGUGCGCUUCGGCGUAUUGAUCUCCCCCAAAAGGAAGUCACNGGUUAACUUCNUGCCACCACCCCNNUNAAACGAANGUGGCUUU